GAUGAACGCUGGCGGCGUGCCUAAUACAUGCAAGUCGAGCGAACAGACGAGGAGCUUGCUCCUCUGACGUUAGCGGCGGACGGGUGAGUAACACGUGGAUAACCUACCUAUAAGACUGGGAUAACUUCGGGAAACCGGAGCUAAUACCGGAUAAUAUAUUGAACCGCAUGGUUCAAUAGUGAAAGACGGUUUUGCUGUCACUUAUAGAUGGAUCCGCGCCGCAUUAGCUAGUUGGUAAGGUAACGGCUUACCAAGGCAACGAUGCGUAGCCGACCUGAGAGGGUGGUCGGCCACACGAGAACUGAGACACGGUCCAGACUCCUACGGGAGGCAGCAGUAGGGAAUCUUCCGCAGUGGGCGAAAGCCUGACGGAGCAACGCCGCGUGAGUGAUGAAGGUCUUCGGAUCGUAAAACUCUGUUAUUAGGGAAGAACAAAUGUGUAAGUAACUAUGCACGUCUUGACGGUACCUAAUCAGAAAGCCACGGCUAACUACGUG
rnacentral:rRNA from 1 species